ACUGUAAGUGCCAAAACAUUUUCCUACGGAGCUCUGAAGUUCUUCCUGCACCCCUCUGGUCUAAUUUCCCCCGAAAUCCUGGCGCGCUCAAGAAGGGAGCCAAGGAAGCAGAUUCAGUCUGGAGUCAGCCUCAGAAUCCUGCAAAGUCUAAGAUAGGAGCAAGCCAAAAUUUUCCUCCCUCACAAGGGUAGAAACAGGAUCACGAAUGUCACUUUGCCUGUGACAUAAUGUGAUGACUGUAUACAGGCUUUUUGUGGCAUCCUAAACAGAGGGAUAUUGAAGGGAGCUGAUGCGGCUUUGAUCCUUAGGUUUGUUGUCAAAGCGCUUGGAAAUGAAGAGAGUGUUGGCUACAAUUGACUGUGACAAUUAGGAGAUGAUCAGAGCUCUAGAGUGGAACACUUAAAGGGGAGGAACCUGCUGUUACUUAACUGGCAUUGCUGCUGCUCCCAUCAUAGAUGGCCAUCAAACCUCCCAGCUGCAGUAACAACGUAUGUGGCAACUUAGAAAGUGGAGGCCUGUUUCAGGAAGGUGGUGGUAGAAGAUGUAAAAACACAUUCAGUUGCAGCUGGGAGAGGAAGGAAAUGCUGGGAAGGUAACUGAUAACAGCUUUCUUACCCUUCUCUCCAGCAAUAUCAGGUGGACUCUGAAGACCAUACAUCCUGCUUUGGAAACUUUUGAAUCAUGCUGAAGAAAAAAAUCCCUAUAUUAAAUCAAUGCAGGUUUUUAGCAUCACCCCUACAUGUUUGUUGCUUUAAAUUGUGUACUUACAAUUUUCUCUCUUGCUUUUACCUUUGCUUAACAAACUUUUAGGAUAUCUAAAUAGGAAAAAACAACAACUCCCCGAACUCUUGGAAGCUCUCAACUCAGAAAAUACAAUGUCUGACAAUCUUAAGUACACAUUGAUUUAUUUAGCAUAUGGUGAUGCUACAUUAGCCAGGAGACUACAGUAUUAAUAGUCAGAAUCGUUUGACUGCCUAAGACUGCUAGGUUGUUCAGUUCAGGAGACCUGGAGCACAGUGGUUAAAGUGCAGUAUUGCAAGCAAACUGCCCACAGUCUGGAGUUCAAUCCUGACAGGGCUCAAAGUUAAUUUGGUCUUUCAUCCUUCUGAGGUUGGUAAAAUGAAGAUAUUGUUGUGGCCAAUAUGCAAGUAAUGCUUACAUUGUAAACCCCCCAGAAAGUGCUGUGAAGCACAAUGAAGCAAUAUAUAAGUCUAAAUGCUAUUGUUAUUGAUAUUUAUGCACUAUCCAGAAGUGCACCACAUGGGACAAACUAGCUCUGCACUCAGAAUGGCUAACAGCAUUGUGC